UACGUAGGGUGCAAGCGUUAAUCGGAAUUACUGGGCGUAAAGCGUGCGCAGGCGGUUCGGAAAGAAAGAUGUGAAAUCCCAGGGCUCAACCUUGGAACUGCAUUUUUAACUACCGAACUAGAGUAUGUCAGAGGGGGGUGGAAUUCCACGUGUAGCAGUGAAAUGCGUAGAUAUGUGGAGGAACACCGAUGGCGAAGGCAGCCCCCUGGGAUAAUACUGACGCUCAUGCACGAAAGCGUGGGGAGCAAACAGG
rnacentral:rRNA from 1 species